CCGACAGCCCGAUAGUCCGACGCACGGUCACUUGUCUCUGAAAAGUAUGCCUAUAUAGACAUGGAACGUUUGUAAAUUGGUAUAUUUUUUCAUACAGAAAAUUAACAAAUCAGUCAGUAUGACGUCUUGUACAGGACCGCAAUAAUCCCAUACGAAUCGGAAAUGAACGGAAUCCGAGUCCGUUCACCUUAAAACAUGAUCACUCUCAUUCAAAUUCGCCCCCUUUCACUUUCACACCCUACACGUGCUUACAAAAAGUCUGUUUGCACCCUAUACGUUUGCUUUUGUUUAUUAUGAAAACAAUGAUAAACAUAUUAUAGCAAUACUAUUACUGACCAAUUAAUAUACUAACCAAAAC
rnacentral:lncRNA from 1 species